rnacentral:rRNA from 1 species
CACUCCUACGGGAGGCAGCAGUGGGGAAUAUUGCACAAUGGGCGCAAGCCUGAUGCAGCCAUGCCGCGUGUAUGAAGAAGGCCUUCGGGUUGUAAAGUACUUUCAGCAGUGAGGAAGGUGGGUAUGUUAAUAGCAUACUCAUUUGACGUUAGCUGCAGAAGAAGCACCGGCUAACUCCGUGCCAGCAGCCGCGGUAAUACGGAGGGUGCGAGCGUUAAUCGGAAUUACUGGGCGUAAAGCGCAUGCAGGUGGUUUGUUAAGUCAGAUGUGAAAGCCCGGGGCUCAACCUCGGAAUUGCAUUUGAAACUGGCAAACUAGAGUACUGUAGAGGGGGUAGAAUUUCAGGUGUAGCGGUGAAAAUGCGUAGAGAUCUGAAGGAAUACCGGUGGCGAAGGCGGCCCCCUGGACAGAUACUGACACUCAGAUGCGAAAGCGUGGGGAGCAAACAGGAUUAGAUACCCUGGUAG